UACAGAGGGUGCGAGCGUUAAUCGGAAUUACUGGGCGUAAAGCGUGCGUAGACGGUUAUUUUAAGUCGGGGUGUGAAAGCCCCCCGGGCUCAAACCCUGGGGAAUUGCAUUCGAGACUGAAUAGCUAGGGUACGGUAGAGGGAAGUGGAAAUUUCCGGUGUAGCGGUGAAAUGCGUAGAUAUCGGAAGGAACAUCAGUGGCGAAAGCGACUUCCUGGACCAGUACCGACGUUCAGGCACGAAGGCGUGGGGAGCAAACAGG
rnacentral:rRNA from 1 species